rnacentral:lncRNA from 1 species
AAGAGCUUUUCUUUGCUUUUGUCCUCUGGACAAAACUCCAUUCUUUUUAUGAGACCCAGAGGUCUCCCCUCAAUUUCUGGCAUUUGAUUGUACUUGGAAGAGAUUGUAAUCUCAAUUGGAGGGUCCGGAUUUUUCCUUCUGCAGAGUGGCUGCUUAGGAUUUGAUGGACGAUGGGCUCGAGACAGAAAAGGGCUGGUAAUCUUCUUCCCCUUCCACUCCCGGUUUCUCCCAGUUUUCCCUCUUGUUCUUCUUCAUCUUCCUCCCUCCCUCGAGUAGUUAGGGCUAAUUUUUUCUGUUUUCCUAUCAUUUUCCUGAUAUUUCUAUUUCAUUGGCUAAAAGCAGCAAAUCUUUUUUUUUUCUCUCAUCUCUGUCGUGUCCUUUUGUGAAACAGUAAGGACAGGGAAGGUCAAUAUUUCAUCUCCACUAUCUGAUGUGAAUUUCUAGAAUGCAGAUAUAUGGUACUUUUCUUCCCCUUUCUUUCCAUGAUUAAUGUCUCUGUUUCAUUUCUGUUUUAUCAUUGAUUUUUAAUUUUUAAUCAGAAGAAAAACUUUUAAUAUGGUCUGAGAUGAUGAAUAAUUGAUGAUUAGCUAGCUUUUAGAUAUUUAUUUACUUUCUUUUUUGUAUCUAUUUGGUGAUUUAUUGUUCCAUUUUUCGUUUUUGUCUUGGAUUUCUUCUGGAGUUCGGAGGAAAAAUGGCCACUUGUGAAAAACAACUGGUGAGUGAAAAUGUAAGUUUGCUGCAUCAAUCUGAUUUAAUUUUUCCCUCUUCCACGCCUGGUUUAGGAUUUGAUGGAUGAUUUUUUUUCCAUUUUUUUUGUUCUUUUGGUGCUACUUUUCCAAGUAUAUUAUUGGUUGUUGUUACAGGAAGGAAUAUGAAAACUUGAAGUUGACAUCUCUAAGAAGUAGUUAAAGCUGGUAAUAUUUAUUUGUGUUCUACUAUUUAUACUAUAAACCAUAGUCUUUUUCUGUAAAUGGUUUCUCUCACCUAAUUUAGCCUAUUUUUGUUUAUUGAGGUUGUUGUCAGAGAAAGGAUAAAGGUAAAAGUGAUUGGAAGAAUGAGCAAAUUUCUUCCGGUGUUUUGUGUUUUGGGUUUUAUUGUGUUUGUCAAAGUAAAUUAGAUACAGUAUCUUUUUCUUCUGUAUCUUCUUUUUUUCCCUUGGCUGGCAAACAUAAUGAAUCUGUUAUAUAAACUACUUGGUAUUCUUCGUAAUGUCAAGAUUUGGGAAGCUGUAUGAUGAAAUCUUUAUUUCAUAGUCGAUUUUUCUGGUUUUGUGGUUUUAACGUGCAAAGUGAAAUCAUUAUUAUGACUAACUUCCUUGAGGAUGUUUUGAUCAGUUCAUGAUUCAUGAGAUACAUAGUUAUAUGGAUUACAUAAAUGGAGUUUCAAAAGCAAAAUCCAUUUAAUCUACUAUGAAGAUACCAUCUUUCCUCUUUUAAAUUACUAAAAAAACUUGGCUCGAUCUUUGACUGGAAAAAUUAUGUUCAGAAAAUAGUAUUCCUGUGCGUCACACAAUUGACAUUUGAUGUUGGACCCAAUAUUGCAUUUAAAAAAAAAAAAGAAAAAUUGGAAAAUAAUGCAUAGGAACUUCUCUAGAAUUUGCUUCCAUAUAUAUGUACAAUGUUUUGUUCCCUUUGGGGAAAUUUCAUCAGUGACAUUAUUUUUAUUGAUUGAUUUCUGUUGGUAAGACCAGCUUUUAUACUCUCUCAAUAGAUUUCUUCUCUUGUUUCUGUUAUCGCCAUUUUUUUUUGUGGAUUCUUCUUUCUUCUAAGCAACUUUAAAGGUUCUUUUCUUUAUAUGAAUAUGUUAUUAUUGGGGUACAUCUAAUCCUAAUCCUACUUCUGUAGCAGGAAAUGACCAUACAUUGGGUUUUGUUACUGGUGGGUCUGCUCAUGUUCAAAUGCAACUUAGCACCAAAGAGUGUGAGAGUCUGGGAUUAACUGGUCUGGCUCUCUGCUUAGACUGCAACACCUUUGCUGAGUAUGUCAAGGACCAAGGUUGUACCUUUAUUAUAUGAAUUUUGUUGAUCCUCAGAUAUUUAUGGUUUUUGGUGGAUUUUACUUCUGGGUUUUGAUGGGUUUUUUGAAUUGAUUACUUGCUGGUAAGUACAUGGGUUGUAAAAUGGUAAUAUUUGGGAUUCUUGUUUCUGUACUAUAGCUGAUUGGUUGUCAAAAUUAACGAAUAGUGGGAGAUAGAUGCAAUUCUUAUUGCUUUUAGUUGAUUUAAGGUCUGGGUUUUUUUUUGUUUGGAUUUAUGAAUUGCUUAUUUAUAUGUGAGAUGUCAAUGGUGAUAAUUUGGAAGGAGAACUUGAAAAAGGCUAUGUUUUUAUACAAAUCAGAUCGAGAGACUAUGCUUAUAACAGUAAAUAAGUGUAUUUUGACUUUUGUUGUUUUCACUAUAAUUUUUUGUGAUUAAGUUUUGUCAAAAUAUGGAUGGGUAAAUAGUAUUUUGGAAGAUUUCUCUUUUUUCUUUUUGUACCUCAGAUAGCUUAAGGAUAAUUGCAGAAAUCGAAAUAAGAUCCUCAUUGGGAUUCUUAAAUUAUCUCAUGCAAUUAGUGGCGUUAAAUUGUAAUCUGUAGAAUUCCAAGUAACUAGCCUGGAUUAUGGUGAUGGUUCAGUUUUGUUGCUCUUGAGGAUGUUUUGCACCUGAGCUGACGAUGAUCAAGGCAUGCAAGAACAAUAGUUCUACGAUCAUGAUUUCCUAAGUUACGACUUGUAGUUCAUUAUAUUUGAUGAUUAGGACCAUACGCAUUAAAUUGGAAUAUUCUAUUGGCAUCCUUUAUUGUACCAAAUGAAGUACUAUCAAGACAAAUUCUGAAUGGAAAUAUGCCAUUUUUUGAAACCUAUACCAGAGAACCCUUAUUCUUCAACCCUUUUACAUCCAUUCUGGUGAAUUUGAAAAAUUUAAAUAGCUGAAACUUGUGUAACAGAAUUCAUCAAUUAUAUAAUGACUUAGAUUUGUUAAAGAAUUUUGGAUUGUAAGAUUACAAUAAACUUUUUGAACAUUCUGCAAUAAUUUACUUAAGAGGAAGAAAAUUGCUCAUGUCGUCAAGAAAUCCUGGAUGUUUGACAAGAUCUGCAUUUAACAUAUCCAGUUUAGAUGGCAACUUAUAUAGAUUUCUGUAUAAUAUUGGAAUGAUCUUUUUUAGCAUUCCGCAAAUAAUAUACUAAGUAGAAUAUGAUAAUCUGGAAAAUCCGAUGUUUGAAAAGACUCCGGAUGCAGUUUAGAUUUGUCAGUGCCUCUCAGAAAUCUGCCCCUUGGCUUUACCUUAGGCUUAGAGAUGGCUUGCUGGAUUGGUCUAUUUUUAUCUAUUGAUUUUCAUUGUGAAUUUUUGUGUCCAAAGCUUGGUUUUGACUUUCUUGGUUUUGCAUCUGCAUCACCGCAUGAAGCUGCAGCCGGGGAAAACUUCAUUGACAGAGUUUUCAUUAUGGGUCUAUAGAGACUGCAUUUUGGAGAUCUCUUUUGUAUGUGGAUAGGAUUAUAUGUUAUUUUAAAGUUUCUUUUAUGCAAAAAAAAAAAGGAAAAAGAAAAAGAAAAAAAGAUGUUAAAUUUGUUGUAUGUUGUUGACGUAAAACAUAUCUUGCAUCUGAAAUAUUUUCAUUGUGUAAUUAUUUGAUUUGGUUUUUCAAAACUCAUUCAUUGUCGUAAUAAGAUUUUAGACACGAGAUAAUGGCUUGUUUCUCUUAUCAGUUAUAUGUAGAUCUUUAGUCCACCAUUAUCAGUUAUAACUACGUGAUUUAUAGGCUAAAAUGCAUAUGUUGUUUUUUAUUUUCUGUUCUUUAUUUGUAUACCUAGCAUUCAUGUUUGAGAAAAAAUUGAUUGGCAGGAGGUAUUUAUCCGAAUAAGAUGGUGGCUCAAAAUGCGUGGCUCAAAAUGCAUCUGCUGUUUAUUGGCUUUCUAUUCUUUAUUUAUAUAUCCAACAUUAAUGUUUGACAAAAAGUUGAAUGGCAAGAGGUAUUAUUCAAAUAUAAUGGUGGCUCAAACUUAGGAGUAGGGAAUAUGUUCUUGACGACUUUGUUUAUAUUUCAUGUUUUAUUAUUUCCUUACAAUUUUGCAAUGAAGUGUGGCAAAAACUACGGGUGCGUUACCUGUGAUUUAACAAGAUUGUCAUUAUACUAUUUACACAAAAUGUUAUUAAAUUCUAAUAUGAUUCCUUCUUGGCAGAUCUGAUUGAUAUUUGGAUAGCUGGAACUUGGAAGCUAAUGGAAGCUUAUGGAGUUUUGUCAUGAAUGCUUGAUACUUUGUUUUAUCCUUUCCAAUAUCUUUACCAGAAGUCAUUAGUUACUUCAACAGCCACUUGCUAUAGUAGAGAUAUCAAACUUUGUGAUGCUUUUUUUUUUUUUAAUUUUGACCACUAAUACAUAGUUCCACUAUAAUUGGCUGAUUGAACGCGACGGAAGAUAAGAAAGACGAGAGGCAUUUCUAGAAAUAGCAGUCAAUAUUUCUGGAUGAAUGUAUCUUAUAUCUUAAAUUGUAACUUUUCACAGGUAAUGAGGUGCAUCGUACAGUUG